rfam:Brachypodium distachyon strain Bd21 chromosome 2, whole genome shotgun sequence.
AAUUAACUGUGACUCCGUCCGACAGAAGAUGUCUCAAGUUUGUCAAAAUUUGAAUGUAUCUAGACAUGAUUUAGUGUAUAGAUACAUUCAAAUUUAAUCAAAGUUUUGAGACAUCUUUUAUUGGACGGAGGGAGUAGACA